rnacentral:rRNA from 1 species
AUUGCACGCUCGCGGGAUGCCUUACACAUGCAAGUAGAACGGAGUGGCGAACGGGUGAGUAAUGCCACGGAACGUGCCCAGUAGCCGAGGAUAACUACGUGAAAGCCUAGCUAAUACCGCAUACUAUCGGAGCGGCAGAGCUCGGAUUAGCCAGGUGGUGGGGUAACGGCUCACCAAGGCGACGAUCCGUAGCUGGGUUGAGAGGACGACCAGCCACACUGGGACUGAGACACGGCCUAGACUCCUACGUGAGGCAGCGUGGGGGAAUUUUGGACAAGGGGGGAAAUCCUGAUCCAGCCAUCCCGCGUGUGCGAUGAAGGCGUUCGGGUUGUAAAGCACUGUUGGCAUGAAAGCGGUAACUGCAGAAUAAGCACCGGCUAACGACGUGCCAGCAGCCGCGGUAAUUC